rnacentral:rRNA from 1 species
UGGGGAAUAUUGCACAAUGGGCGCAAGCCUGAUGCAGCCAUGCCGCGUGUAUGAAGAAGGCCUUCGGGUUGUAAAGUACUUUCAGUCGGGAGGAAGGUGUCAAGGUUAAUAACCUUGGCAAUUGACGUUACCGACAGAAGAAGCACCGGCUAACUCCGUGCCAGCAGCCGCGGUAAUACGGAGGGUGCAAGCGUUAAUCGGAAUUACUGGGCGUAAAGCGCACGCAGGCGGUUGAUUGAGUCAGAUGUGAAAUCCCCGGGCUUAACCCGGGACUUGCAUCUGAUACUGGUCAGCUAGAGUCUUGUAGAGGGGGGUAGAAUUCCAUGUGUAGCGGUGAAAUGCGUAGAGAUGUGGAGGACUACCGGUGGCGAAGGCGGCCCCCUGGACAAAGACUGACGCUCAGGUGCGAAAGCGUGGGGAGCAAACAGG